rnacentral:lncRNA from 1 species
CAUCGUUUCCUCUCGGGCUCAAUUCAUUCUCCUUGGGGCUGUUCUUCUCACGCAUUGGACUGCCUUCUUCAGGAGUCAAACUUCGCUUCCUAUCUUUUGAUGGAGGAGAGUUGUCCACCAUUAGUUCAGGGCUUCUGCUCCUAGCAGCUUCAGGGCUUCUGCUCCUAGCAGCUUCAGGGCUUCUGCUCCUUGCAGCUUCAGGGCUACGAUCCGUUUCCUUCCUAACCGGAGAUCUGGAGCGACUGAGAAAACAGACCCAGACAGAACAUAAAAGAGUUGCCUCAGAAUCAAA